UACGGAGGGUGCAAGCGUUAUCCGGAUUCACUGGGUUUAAAGGGUGUGUAGGCGGGCUAUUAAGUCAGUGGUGAAAUCUCCGGGCUCAACCUGGAAACUGCCAUUGAUACUAUUAGUCUUGAAUAUCGUUGAGGUAGGCGGAAUAUAUCAUGUAGCGGUGAAAUGCAUAGAUAUGAUAUAGAACACCGAUUGCGAAGGCAGCUUGCUAAACGAUGAUUGACGCUGAGGCACGAAAGCGUGGGGAUCAAACAGG
rnacentral:misc_RNA from 1 species